AUGACAGCUCUAGAAAGAGAGGUCACACUCCCUGUUAAGCUUAUCGACAAGAGUGACCCUUUAAUUUUUCUUUGGUACAGUAGUUGCAAGCUAUACACCCAAGCUUUUAAGCUUUCCGACAUUGGAGGAGAUCUAGCAUAUACUAUAGCAACCACCACAAGUACUGUCUCUGAAACUACAACCUAUGACAUCAAGGAGCAUGGGCAAGCGACAAAGAGAGAGGAUAGAGACAAGAAAGGGAGAGGGAUAGAAUUCAAUUUAGUGUGGAGGUUGCAUACUACGAUGUAG